rnacentral:rRNA from 1 species
CCUACGGGAGGCAGCAGUAGGGAAUUUUCCGCAAUGGGCGAAAGCCUGACGGAGCAAUACCGCGUGAGGGAUGACUGCCUAUGGGUUGUAAACCUCUUUUUUCAGGGAGGAAUAAAUGACGUGUACCUGAAGAAUAAGCAUCGGCUAACUCCGUGCCAGCAGCCGCGGUAAGACGGAGGAUGCAAGUGUUAUCCGGAAUCACUGGGCGUAAAGCGUCUGUAGGUGGCUCAACAAGUCAACUGUUAAAUCUUGAAGCUCAACUUCAAAAUCGCAGUCGAAACUAUUGAACUAGAGUAUAGUAGAGGUAAAGGGAAUUUCCAGUGGAGCGGUGAAAUGCGUAGAGAUUGGAAAGAACACCAAUGGCGAAGGCACUUUACUGGGCUAUUACUGACACUCAGAGACGAAAGCUAGGGCAGCAAAUGGGAUUAGAUACCCCAGUAGUCCUAGCCGUAAACAAUGGAUACUAGGUGUUGAACAGAUCGACCUGUGCAGUACUAAAGCUAACGCGUUAAGUAUCCCGCCUGGGAAGUUNGCNCGCAGCGAGAACGUAAAGUAAGUAGACGGCGUGAGAGUCGCGACGACGACGACGAGGGAGGAGG